AUCCUCAACCAAUGACCCAUAGCGAAGUAUUCUUUCGGCUUUUACUAAAGAAUACCAUGUGUUUGUUUCAAAUGGAGAUGUACUUUUAUUUUCUUUUUUGUGGAACUUCUUGAA